GGGGGUGGAGGUUGGGUUAGGAAAUGGGAGUGGUCUUUAUUCCCGGUCAGACUUGGGAUGCCCAUUACGACAAGGCUCCAGGGUGGGUCAUGUCACUCAUAAUCAUUCGUAGUUUGUAUCCACUUUUCAUUUGAAGUCAGCCUCCCUUACUUAUCACACAACCACUUAGGUCUUGAGUUCUUAGGGGACUACCAACUCAUUUACCAGCCAACACUUUCAUUUUUUUGGAUCUUUUUUAUCUAUUUCUAAUUGUUACCC
rnacentral:lncRNA from 1 species